rnacentral:rRNA from 1 species
UACAGAGGUCCCAAGCGUUGUUCGGAUUCACUGGGCGUAAAGGGCGCGUAGGUGGCGGGACAAGCGUGCGGUGAAAGCCUGGGGCUCAACCCCGGGUCGGCCGUGCGAACUGUUUUGCUUGAGCACUGUAGAGGCAGGCGGAAUUCCGGGGUGUAGCGGUGGAAUGCGUAGAGAUCCGGAAGAACACCGGUGGCGAAGGCGGCCUGCUGGGCAGUAGCUGACACUGAGGCGCGACAGCGUGGGGGAGCAAACAGG